rnacentral:snRNA from 1 species
CCUGCUGAUUGAUCAGCUUG